AUAGCUGCUGGACCAAUCAGUGUUGUUCUCCUGGCUGUCCUAUCCCUCUCUGUCUUCCUGUGGAUCAGAAAGAGGAGGGCUUCCAGGGACUCGUCUGGACCAGACAACAGGGAACAGUGUGUACCUGAUCCGAGUGAGCCAGAGGAGCAGGCUGACCUUCAGUACGCCACCAUCCACGUCUCCAACAGCCAGGCAGAUCCUCUGUACUCCAACAUCAGAGCUGCUCCGCCCCUCAGACACAGGGAGCAACAGGAAGCCGUUGAGUACGCUGCCGUCAGCUUCAACAGUGGCAGUACUGCCCCGAGAACCAGAGGUCGGGACACUGGAGAGGAUCCAGCUGCUUUGUACAGCACAGUCAACAACCCCCGAUGAAAACAGGCAUUGCAUUUAUAGUCUGAUUAUUUUCCCCAAAAAAUGAUUUAAAUUAAUCAGGUAACCAUUGAUUUUUAUACAUUUUAUUUUAAGGAUGACCCUCUCCAAGAAUGUACAAAGAGACAAUUAUAAAUCUUCUAGAAACUUAAACAUAAUCCAGUGUUCAGUUAUUUUACUCUGUAUGAGUCAGCUGUAAAGAAUGAGUUAAGUAUUUCAUGAUUUAAUUUGUUAAAUUGUAUAUAUACUAUAAAAGUGACCUUUUAUGUGCGGUUUGAAUUAGUCUCUAACUGGU